UAAGUACACAAUAUGUAAAUACAUAGAGAUACCUUGCACGGCAUAGGUAAAUGUACAGUGUGUGUGUAGGUAUAUUGUGACAUCACUUACUUUAUAAUUAUGCGCUUGUAAUAAAGAAUAUCCUAAAUUUUAGUGGACACCUGAAGGUAGAAGACUGGUGCAUCUAGCGGUGAAUUUACUUUAUGAAAUGGAUUACUUUUAAUUUUGAAGCUAUUUUACAGUGCCUUAAACAUGAUGCACCAGUCAUCAUGUUUUCUAAAAAAUGAUGACCACUUAUAUUAAUUGAGGUUCUCAUUAAUUGAAGAAUUGAAACAAUUGCUGCAUGAAAACUUGAAAUUACUAAGAUACUUAGAAAAGUGCUCAGGAAUUGUGAUGGAAUAAAAAAAAUUAUCAUUAAAAAAUUAAUUGUUAAGCUUGUUGGAAUAAAUACCAUUGUUCGCAGACUGCAGGGAUACCACUACAGAGUCAAAAUUUGGCAUGUUAAAAGGUUUCCACGUAUGUGUUUAUAAUUUUAACAAGGAGAUUUUUUUUAAAAAUUUCAAUUUUUUCACUAAUUUUUCAAUUUUCAAAGCUUUUUGUGUGAAUUUUUUCUACCUUUUUUUUUUAUUUUCAUUGCUUUUGCAUUACAUUUUGCUUUUUCUGCUUAAAAAGUAUUAGACUUAGAAACUUGAAAUCAAGAAAGCGUGUAGAAAUGUGUACAAGGAAAAAAAGUAUGAUUCUAUUGUUAUUUCGAGAAUUUACUACAAUUUCAGCAACUGUUAAACUUGUAGUAAAAAAAAUAAUAACUGCUGAAAUGCAACUACAGAUUUGAAAUUUAAUGUUCUGAGAGCGAACAGUAUUUAUAAUUUUAUUUCAAAAUUCCCAUUUGUUUGAUAGUCAUUGCAGAAAAAGGUGCCUUUUUGUGAUUUUUUUCAGAUUUUUUCACUUUAAAUAUUGUCUAUUGUUGUGGAAAAUUUAUUCCCCACGAAAUCUUUAUUUAUUUUUCGUUACUUUAUUAACACACGUAUGAGUAGUUGUAAA